CGGGGCGGAGCCGCGCGCGGCCGGCGGGGGAAAGGCGCGUUGGCGGCGCCCUGAGGCCGCGCCCCGGGCGUGCGGCGAGAUCCCGGCUUCUGGGCGCCGCCGCAGCGGGUCCUCCCGGCUGGAAGCGGGGCCGGUCUCCGGGCCCUCCUGGCUCCGGGCUUUCCGCCCACCGAGCCCGCGAGCGCCGCGGCCCCGCGCCCGCCCCGCCGGCUGCCCCGCGCGGGCCGGACCCAGCCGCAGCGCCGCUCCGAGCCGCCUCGCCCCGCUCGGCCGCCGCCAGCUGCUUUCCCUCCAGGCCCCGCUCCUCCCUUCCAGAGCCGCUGCUUCCCGGGAGCCGCCCGUCCUCCUGCGCCCUGCGCCCCUUCUUCCUCGCAUUUCACUAUCUUAGAGCACUUGUCCAAAUCCCUCCACUCUACCAAACCAUCCAGACCUGUCCUUACCUUGAUUUCCCACUUCAUCAGUCCGAGUGUCACUUGGACACUUGAGCAGUGUUUUUAUAUUUUCUUCCCACUGAUCAAUAAAGAUAUGGAAUAGCAUUACUUACAGUAUGCAUCGGAUGCAGUGAGCUGUUGCUGCGAAAGCUGAUGCUCAAAUAAAUUGGUUAGUCUCUAAGGUGCCACACGUCCUCCUUUUCUCAUUACUUACAAUAAAAAUCAUGAAAGCUGGCAACACUAUUUUAAGUAUACUUGAAAUAUAUGGGCAAUAUAUUAUGAUAAUUCCUCCUUUGUGAAAAGAGGUUUAAGGUUCCAGUAAAAAACAGCUCUACCAUUCUAAAACUUGGUCUUGAUUUAAGGGACAAGCUUUUAAUGUUUUGUUGUGGUGAACGUUGUGUCAUCAGGAUCAUUAUUCCAAUGCAACGUCAUGACACGAGUUAUUGUAUAACUUCACCAGGUUGCAAGCAGGAAGUAUAAAAGAUGUUUAUUUUAAAGGGGCUUCUCGCUUCCUGCAAGACCUUGCUGCAGAAUACAGAACAGAUUAGGGAGACUAGACUAUUGUGGAUUUUCAGGGAGGGCAGUGUACACAUAGGGUUUAAAGGUGUUGUGCAUUUUCAUUGUUAAAAAUAAUAUCUUUAAUCAAUAUGGUAAAUAGAAAAAUGAAACAGGAAGUUCCCCUUGUUAAAUACACCUGGUUGAUAUGGGUUGCGGGCUAAAGGUGGAAGCAAAGAAAGCUUGAUAAAGCAUAGCACACUGAUAUAUGAUAUCAUUUAAACUUCUAAUUGUAUGCCUUUUGCAUUUAUUUUCUAGCAAUCUAAACUGAAUAUUUCCAACAUGCCUCUCACCAAAGGAUCAUUUUGGAGUCCUGUUCCUAAAUGAUGUGGUCUCAUUCUCUAAUCUUCGGUCUUCAGUUAGUCUGGGAAGAGACAUGUUUGUUUUAUAAUUGUGUGGAAUGCUGCGGACUGAUCGUCACUUAGAUACUGCUUUUUUCUGCAACACUGACCUGCCCACCUUGAGAAAAUAUUUUGGCACCAAGCACUUCAAAGAGAACUAAAAGCACUGGUACAUCAUGCAUUAUUUAAGAGUGUUGAUGGUGAUCUCUUCUCCAGCUCCUAAAGAACCUGUUUGUGAACUGCAGGGGUGAGGUCCCCUUGUUUCUUAUACAAUAUUGUUUUAUACUUUUCCAUCCCCAUACACACCCUCUGUCUAUCUGUGUAUCCUCAUACACCACUCUGUCUAUCUCUCUAUCUAUCCCCAUACACCCCCUCUAGCUAUCUCGCCACAUCCACCCACUCUGCCUAUCCCCAUACACCCCCUCUAACUAUCUAUCUCCUCACACCCCUCUACCUAUCUACCCUCAUCCACCCCCUCUAUCCAUCUAUCUAUGUAUCUACCCUCAUCCACCCCCUCUAUCUAUUCACCCACAUACACCCCAUUAUUUACCUACCCCCAUCCCCUUACACCCUACCUAUUUAUCCCCAUCCACCCCCUCUACUUAUCUGUCCCCAUCCACGCCCGCUAUCUGUCUAGCUAUCUCUCUGUCCCCAUACACCUCUUCUAUCUGUCUAGCUAUCCAUCUAUCCCCUUACACCCCCUCUACCUAUCUAUCCCCAUUCACCCACUCUGUCUAUCUAUCUGUCCCAAUCCACCGUCUCUAUCUAUCCAUCCCCUUACCCCCACCAUCUAUCCCUUUACCCCCACUUAUCUAUCUAUCCCCAACCACCCCCCUAUGUAUCUGUCUAUCCCCUUACACCCCCUCUACCUAUCUAUCCCCAUUCACCCACUCUGUCUAUCUGUCCCAAUCCACCCUCUCCAUCUAUCCAUCCAUCUAUCCAUCCCCUUACCCCCACCAUCUAUCCCCUUACCCCCACUUAUCUAUCUAUCCCCAACCACCCCCUCUAUGUAUCUAUCUAUCCCCUUACACCCCCUCUACCUAUCUAUCCCCAUCCCACCCUCUAUCCAUCUAUUAAUCUAUCCUCAUCCACCCCCCUCUAUCUAUCCACCCACAUACACCUCCUUGUCUACCUAUCUAUCCCCUUACACCCCCUCUACCUAUCUAUCUAUCCCCAUCCACCCACUCUAUCUACCUAUUCCAAUACGCUCCCUCUAUCAAUCUAUCCCCAUCCACCCACUUUAUCUAUCUUUCUAUCUCUAUACACCCCCUCUACCUAUCUGUCUAUCCCCAUACUCCACCUCUAUCUAUCCCCAUCCACGCAUUCUCUCUCUCUCCAAACACCCCCUCUAGCUAGCUAGCUAUCCUCAUCCACUCACGUUAUCUAUCUAUCCAUCUAUCCCCAUCCACCCACUCUAUCUCUCUACCCCCAUACACCCCCUCUAUCUAUCUAUACCCAUAUACCCCUUCUAUCUGUCUAUCUAUCUAUCUAUCUAUCUAUCUAUCUAUCCCCAUCCACCCACUCCAUCUAUCUGUCUGUCUAUCCCCAUUCACCCCCUCUAUCCAUCUAGCUAUCUAUGUGACAUUGCAUUCCAUAAUGCUUUAUAGAAAUAUGCUUAUGAAUGUAAAUAUGACAUAAUUGAAAUAUGUUUUAUGCUACAUAUGCCAUGUAACAUAUCUCUGCAAAGGUUGUGAUGUACUGAAUAGAUUCAUCCUAUUUGUAUGCAUGAAUCAUUUUUGUAUUCGAAGUUAUGAAUAUUGGCUGUGUACUUGUUUGAUUUUAAGUAGCCUCAGUGAAGCAUUUGGUCAGCUUCUUGAGAAAAGCUAUUCUCAGAAAGUGCCCAAUCAAGAAACACUUAAUCUGACAAUAGACUUUGAUAGAUGCCAAUCAACAUCUGAGCUUUCCUGGGAACAUUCCUGUAGCGAACUAAGUCAUGCAUGGACAUGUGACUUGCCCAGGUGAUUCCAAAACUCCAUCUUGUAGAGGGGAUUCUACACGGGGGGGGAGGGGUUUCUACCCACAAGAGAGAAACUACAUAAAGUCCUGGGAGACGCCUCCAUUUUGUCUUCAGGUAGCUCAAGAGAUAGCCUCUCCACCCCCAAAGAAAGAAACUGGAACAAAGGACAGUAACCACACGGGUGUGAGUGAUUGUUGGACCCAGACUAGAAGGAGACUAGUCUGUAAAAGAAGCUUACUGGAAGAUCUCUGAGGGUGAGAUUUUAUCUGUAAUCACUUUCUUACUGUAUUAGGCUUGCGUGUUUUAUUUUAUUUUGCUUGGUAAUUCACUUUGUUCUGUCUGUUAUUACUUGGAACCACUUAAAUCCUACUUUUUGUAUUUAAUAAAAUCACUUUUUACUUAUUAA